CACGUAGGGGACGAGCGUUGUCCGGAUUCAUUUGGGCGUAAAGCGCGCGUAGGCGGCUCGGAAAGUCGGUCGUGAAAUGCCGGGGCUCAACCCCGGGACUGCGUCCGAUACUCCCGAGCUGGAGGCAGGUAGGGGAGAUCGGAAUUCCUGGUGUAGCGGUGAAAUGCGCAGAUAUCAAGGAGGAACACCGGUGGCGAAGGCGGAUCUCUGGGCCGUAACUGACGCUGAGGAGCGAAAGCAUGGGGAGCGAACAGG
rnacentral:rRNA from 1 species